AUAAUAAUAAUAAUAAUAAUUUAUUAUUAUUAUUAUUAUUAUUAUUAUACAGCUAUUAUAUUAAAAUAAAUAUAAUUAUAUUCUUCUUUUUUUCUUACCAGAUGAAGCUGAAUUUAAAGGCUACAUUAACUGUGUAAUAUGUUGUUAACUGUGGUUUCUCCUGGUAUUUCUGAUAUUAAUAUCCGCAUGAAACAGAAUUUUCGUUUGUCUGUGCAGGUAUAACAACAUUAUUCUGAAGGCAGGAGGUGUCAAGUAAAAUAUGAAAUGUCAAGCACACAUUUUGCAGUGAAUAAUAAAUAUAAAUUCAAACAUUAAAAGAAAUGAAAAUAAAAUCAAUAUAGCCUACAAACAGGUGAAAGUCCCCUAAAUCUAUCAGGAUUUUUUAUGAUAAGACACCAUUAUUUAGUUAAAUAAUAAUAAUAAUAAUAAUAAUAAUAAAAAUUUUAAAUUUAUAUAGAGCCUUACUAGAGGUAGCAGAGUUUAAAGAAGAAGAAAAAGAAAAAAAGUCAGAGCAUGUUUCAGUUUCUUCAUUUUACAUAAGGAGAAAUUCCUAAUAAAUGAAUACUCUAUGGAGCAUUUAAACCUUUAUGAAGCAUUUUAACUUUUUUUUGGAAUAAAGUCUUAACCAGAUAAUUUCCUUAAUCGCUGAUGUGGACAUAAAUGUGGUCAACUUUAAAAGAUGGAUAGGCGGGCUCCAACGUGAAAUCAUCACUUCAUGUCAGGAAUUUAACAUCGCGCUUAAGUUUAGGCUAUAAAUGAAUACAUGGGAAUCACAUGUGAAUCGUGUGAUAUAUUAACAAAGACAUUUAAAGAUGUGGAAGGUGUAUAUGAUGUCAUAUCCUAAUGUUUCACCUGAUAAGCUCCAGACGCACACAAUUAACAGGGAACAGAGAGUCGUGACCGUGCCCAUCCGAUUUGAAAUCAUAACAUGCACAUUUUCAUUCAUAAGGUUUACACUUUAGAAAUAUUGGCUGCACAGAUUCAUAAAUUCUUUGUAAUUUUGUAAAUGUUUAUUUAAAAUGUUGCUUUAUCCUUGUGCCUCUUGGUUAAUCACUCAUAUGAAUAUACCGGCACACAUCUGCUUCUCUUCCCACCACCGGUAAGUUGCUUUUAUAUUGUUUGAUAACUUGAGAAAUGUACUCAAUUAGGGUGAGGUUAUUUAGUCUUUAACAAGGACAGGUGUAACAGAUUUCAAUAGCACAACAUAAUACGGCAAAACAAAUGUAAACAAACACACGUGCCACUCAACAUUCCAAUAACAGCAAAUAUAAAGGAGCAAAAGUGUGAGCAUGCAUCAAUCAUCCCAAAAAACAGAUAACUCCAGUAUCUCAUCCUAUAGUUUGCUACAAACUCCUAGAUUUACAUUGAUCGUCCCGACCAAUCCCAGGCCAAAAGAAUCAUCUCUGGAGCAAGGACCGCCAUGAGAUCGAUCGGCUCACCGAACCUCUGCGACAGGUCCACUGCAAGCAACAAACACACGAGUCUCCACGUCAGAGCAGGGUCAAUAAUAACCAGAGCGGGCAGUGGGAGGAUUCCCGGUAAGCGAACAGGUCUACCUGUGCUUUGCUGAAUCAACUCCAAAUCAGCUGGACCACAUGGGGGUGGAGUCUGAAUGACAGAAAUUUGAGGCAAAUCUUGAUAAAAAGGUCUGGACAGGCAAGGAAUUAAAGUGUUCUUCAGUCAUUUGGACAUCUGGUGAACUUAAUAUUGAAGUUUUUGAAUGGACUUGUAUAUGUGUAUAGUCAUAAUUUGCCUUUAUGAGUAACAUGUAUGUGAUUAUUUGAGUUGUCGUUCUGUAAUUAAUGUUCUGUUUGCAGAAAGGCCUCAGUUGUUUCAUUCUUUUUUUUAACUUGUAAUAGAUAGAAGUUAGUUACUCUAACUCUGUAAGCUAAAACUGCUUACUGUGGUUAGUUAUAUGGUAUAGACACUGCAAUUUAAUAUACAACAUACAAACAAUUACCAUAAUUUUACUGUACAGCUAAUAUACUGCAUUUUAAUAUACGUCAGACAAACAACUGCCGUAAUUAAUUUUACAGUACAGCACAUACUGUAAAUCAUUAUACAGUAUGCUGUAAACUACUGUAGAUAGUUUUACAGUAAUUUUACUGUGGUAAGGAAUACAGCAGCUUGCUGGCUAUUUGUUGCCAAUAAGUUACUGUUGAUUUUACAUAAUUUUUUUUACAGUGUGUAUACAGUAUAUCCCUCAGUACAUCAGUGUUACUGUUAUGAAACGGUCUAAAAAAGAAAAAGAAAUUACAAAAGUUGGUGCGCUGUUUCUCCUCAUUAUAUUUUAAUUUUAAUAUAAGCACAAAUGUGACAUUUCAAGUAGAAUUCUCAGUUAUUUUAGUGAAGUACCUGUAUUAACUGAACUUUGGCUGUGCAUGCUUCUCAUCUGUGCCACUGCAGGUUAAUAUGGCCACGUACACAGUACUAAGUUUCGAGAGUGACAACUACAUUUAAAUGUGGGAGUGAUUCCCCUAAAUGUUCAUUCCAGGUGUGUAUGGAAUACAGGAGUUACUCCUGCAGUUGCGGUGAUUGACAAGUGAUAACUAUAGCAAUGCUGCAGUGUCUCAAGCCUGUAAACAAGAACCAUGAAUGCCACCAGUUUAAACCAUUUUUUGUUUGCUAUUUUUGAGCAGAGAUUAUCUACCAGAAAUGUAUUUUCAUCCAGCAAUGCUUAGUCGCGGUGUUUUGUUUAUGCACGUCUAAGCGGCUCCUGUUAAACAGCAUGCUCUCUCUGGACUGUAAUGUACUGGUUACCUCGAGACCGUAGGGCUGAUGACAGAAACAACAGUGCAGAGAGACAGACUGCAAUAUAUGAAUGAAUGAAGACACAUACCUCUUUUUGUGUGAUGUGCAAUAGCAGAGGAUGGACACAUCUCACACGCAUUAUUGAUCACGUCAUUCGCAACUACAGUUGUUCAGUUUGGUUCUAUACACACUAUGUAGAAUUUAUGAAAAUGCGGUUGUUACUACCUGAAUUUUUUGGGAGUUAAUUCUGUUGUAGAAUGCGGUUGUCACUCCCAUAUUUUACUGAAGUGUGUGUGUAAAAAACAGGAUUAAUCACUCAAAGGUGAACAUAUUUUACAUAUUUUGCUGCAGUGUAUGUGGGUAUUCAGGUGCACUGAAGAAGAUCCGUGAAGAUUUGUCUGUACUUCUACACAGAUUUUUCCCCCAUCGGAUGGUUAUUUCCUUUUGAAGCCACACAUAUAAAACUCUUGUUUUUGUGUAGAGGUUGAUUGACACAUCAGCCUCUACGCUAUCACAUCCGGGACCCUCACUAUUAACACUGGUGCUCCUCAGGGAUGCAUUCUCUCUCCACUGCUCUUCUCCCUGUACACGAAUGACUGCACUGCAAAGGACCCCUCUGUCAAGCUCCUGAAGUUCGCAGAUGACAUCACGGUCACUGGCCUAAUCCGUGAUGGUGACGAGUCUGCAUACAGAUGGGAGCUUGAUCAGCUGGCUGUCUGGUGCGGUCACAACAACCUUGAGCUGAACACGCUCAAAACAGUGGAUAUGAUAGUGGACUUCAGGAGAAAUCCCCCACCCCACAUAGACCCCAUUGUGAAGAAGGCACAGCAGAGGUUGUACUUCCUUUGCCAGCAGAGGAAGUUCAACCUGCCACUGGAGCUGCUGACUCCAUUCUACUCAGCCGUCAUUGAGUCUGUCCUGUGUACAUCUAUAACUGUCUGGUUUGGUUCAGCCACCAAAUCAGACAGAAGGAAACUACAAUUGAACUAUUGCCCUCUAGCCGGCGCUACAGAGCACUCAGCGCCAGGACAUCCAGGCACAAGGACAGUUUUUACCCUCCAUUUUCCACAUGAACAAUUAAACUGCCUUCAGGACUCCCAUAGUGCAAUAAUGUAUAAAUAUGUCAUGUACAUAUGUAAAUUCACUUAUAUUUAGUUCAAUAACUGUACAUACCCCCACCUUGGACAUAUAUUACCACUUGCACACAUACAUACGCUAUUCUGUUAUAUGUCCUAUUUUUUUGUAUGUCUGUUUAUACUCUUACCUUGUUUUAUAUUCUGUGUCUCACUGUAAUGUUCUGUGUGAACUUCCUGUUUCUCCUAUCACCAAAAAAAAAAAAAAAGAUAUUCCUUGUGUACUUCAGCACACUUGGCAACAAAGCUCAUUCUGUUUCUGGUGCUGAAUAGGCAGUUUUUCGCUGCUGCCUAAGACACUUCAGGACCGAUUACCAUUUACAGUAUAAAUGCAGUGUGGUCACAUACCGUACGUAUCCAAACACCUCCAAAUGUGGUUUGUUUAAUCAUAUCACAAAGUGCUUAGGACAUCAAAUCACUUAGGAAAUUUUCUAUUUGGCCGGUGAAUUUCUCAGUUCUGGAUAAAAAUGGUCGAACAUUAUCAGGUUGUUCCUUUAUAUUAAUAUAUGUGUCAGCUUAUAAAUGUAAUGUGUCAGCUUAUAAAAAUAAUGUUUAUGGGAAUGUUUCUUUGGUAGGGUUUUGGUGCUAUUACCACAGAGAAUUUAGCGAAUAUAACAACCAGCUUGAAUCGUUUCAGAGCAACAGUUAGCUAGUUUAGACUGCUCAUUGAUAGCCUCAGAUUUCCCAAUUAACAAAAUAAUACAAUUCUUUAAAAGCGCAGUUCACUUUUAAACUUGGGCCAACUUAGUAUUGUUUGUUUGUGAUGGGAAGUCUGAUUAAUUUCCUUGAACCGGUUCUUUCAGAUGGUUCGUUUCAAUGAACCAUUUAAAAAAAACUAUUCAGCGUUUCUUAUACGUCAUCUCAUAAUGACAUCACUAGUACAUAAUUCUAACAUUCAUCAUGGGCUGCAUCCGAAACCAGGAAAAUGCUGCCUCCGGAGGCUGUAUACGGAGGUGGGAAGGGAUCAAUGCACAUCUGAAUCCAAUGUUUGUGUCACAUCCUGUCUACUGAGAUACAUUCUUCUGAUCGAUUUUUGAAGGCAGCAUAUAUGUAUCCUUCGCUGCCUUUGAAAUCCCACAAUCCUGUGCACACAGAUCCACAGUUGAGCUGAAGAAAAAAAAUAGACACAGUUUAUAUCCAAUUUGUGUAUAAAUGUAAGUUUUUAUUCACUUUUUCCAACUUUUGAUUCCAUUUCCAAUGAGAAAGUAGUAUUGUACUUAUUAAAUAUACACUUGGUUAUCACCGAAACUCUCUUGAUUUUGUUCUAGAUUAUUAGACCAUUCAGUCCAACGAAACCACAAUGAUGCAGACGCGUUACCUUUAGUGGACACCAGAUGGCGAUAAUCAGUUGCUGGUAUCCUAGCAACAAUGUGACUUUAUGCUGCCUCAUGCUUUUCCAAACGGCAUUUUUGCGCCCUUCAAGGGCACUUCGGGAAGGGGACACCACUCAAAGUGUUGUUUCAAACAAAAGUAAGAAAGUUUAUUUUUUCUCAAAGGGCCCUUUUACAAGAUUUUAGUGAAGGGUACAUUCAAACGAUAAUGUCGUUCUCUCUUUAGAGAGCCCGCAUCAAGAGCUUUGUCCUUUGUAGUGAGAAGGGCAUAAGGAUGAU